rnacentral:RNase_P_RNA from 1 species
CCAGAUGGUCAGGUGACCGCUGCCAGCGCAAGCUGGGAGAGGAAAGUCCGGGCUCCACGGAAACACGGUGCCGGGUAACGCCCGGCGGGGGCAACCCCAGGGAAAGUGCCACAGAGAGCUGAACCGCCGGUUUUAGAACCGGUAAGGGUGAAAAGGUGCGGUAAGAGCGCACCGCGCGACUGGCAACAGGAGCGGCAGGGCAAACCCCACCGGGAGCAAGGCCAAAUAGGGGCGGCACGCAGGCUUGCCUGCAAUCGCCGUUUUCGCGACCGCCGCCCGGGUCGGCUGCUUGAGGUGCCGGGCAAUCGGCACCCUAGAGGAAUGGUCACCCAGCGCCCGCAAGGGCGUGGACAGAACCCGGCUUACAGGCCAUCUGGCUAU